AACGAACGCUGGCGGCAGGCUUAACACAUGCAAGUCGAACGCCCCGCAAGGGGAGUGGCAGACGGGUGAGUAACGCGUGGGAACGUGCCCUUCGCUUCGGAAUAGCCCCGGGAAACUGGGAGUAAUACCGAAUACGCCGUAUUGGGAAAGAUUUAUCGGCGAAGGAUCGGCCCGCGUUAGAUUAGCUAGUUGGCGGUGUAAUGGACCACCAAGGCUACGAUCUAUAGCUGGUCUGAGAGGAUGAUCAGCCACACUGGGACUGAGACACGGCCCAGACUCCUACGGGAGGCAGCAGUGGGGAAUCUUGGACAAUGGGCGCAAGCCUGAUCCAGCCAUGCCGCGUGAGUGAAGAAGGCCUUAGGGUUGUAAAACUCUUUCGCCGGAGAAGAUAAUGACGGUAUCCGGAGAAGAAGUCCCGGCUAACUUCGUGCCAGCCGCCGCAGUAAGAC
rnacentral:rRNA from 1 species